rnacentral:tRNA from 1 species
GUGGCUGUAGCUCAGUGGUAGAGCACUUGCCUAGCAUGUGUGAGGCACUGGGUUUGAAUCUCAGCACCAUA